UACGUAGGGUGCGAGCGUUGUUCGGAAUUACUGGGCGUAAAGCGCACGUAGGCGGCUUUGUACGUUAGAGGUGAAAGCCCAGGGCUCAACCCUGGAAUUGCCUUUAAGACUGCAUCGCUUGAACAUCGGAGAGGUAAGUGGAAUUCCGAGUGUAGAGGUGAAAUUCGUAGAUAUUCGGAAGAACACCAGUGGCGAAGGCGACUUACUGGACGAUUGUUGACGCUGAGGUGCGAAAGCGUGGGGAGCAAACAGG
rnacentral:rRNA from 1 species